GGUGCUUGCACCGUGGAUUAGUGGCGAACGGGUGAGUAAUACGUGAGUGACCUACCUUUGACUCUGGGAUAAGCCUGGGAAACUGGGUCUAAUACCGGAUACGACCAAUCUCUGCAUGGGGUGUUGGUGGAAAGCGUUAUGGAGUGGUUUUAGAUGGGCUCACGGCCUAUCAGCUUGUUGGUGAGGUAAUGGCUUACCAAGGCGACGACGGGUAGCCGGCCUGAGAGGGUGACCGGCCACACUGGGACUGAGACACGGCCCAGACUCCUACGGGAGGCAGCAGUGGGGAAUAUUGCACAAUGGGCGCAAGCCUGAUGCAGCGACGCCGCGUGAGGGAUGACGGCCUUCGGGUUGUAAACCUCUGUUAGCAUCGAAGAAGCGAAAGUGACGGUAGGUGCAGAGAAAGCGCCGGCUAACUACGUGCCAGCAGCCGCGGUAAUACGUAGGGCGCGAGCGUUGUCCGGAAUUAUUGGGCGUAAAGAGCUUGUAGGCGGUUGGUCGCGUCUGCUGUGAAAGGCCGGGGCUUAACUCCGGUUUUGCAGUGGGUACGGGCUAACUAGAGUGCAGUAGGGGAGACUGGAAUUCCUGGUGUAGCGGUGGAAUGCACAGAUAUCAGGAGGAACACCGAUGGCGAAGGCAGGUCUCUGGGCUGUAACUGACGCUGAGAAGCGAAAGCAUGGGGGAGCGAACAGGAUUAGAUACCCU
rnacentral:rRNA from 1 species